rnacentral:rRNA from 1 species
AUUGAACGCUGGCGGCAUGCCUUACACAUGCAAGUCGAACGGUAACGCGGGGCAACCUGGCGACGAGUGGCGAACGGGUGAGUAAUGCAUCGGAACGUACCCAGUUGUGGGGGAUAGCUCGGCGAAAGCCGGAUUAAUACCGCAUACGACCUACGGGUGAAAGCGGGGGAUCGCAAGACCUCGCGCAGUUGGAGAGGCCGAGGUCAGAUUAGGUUGUUGGUGGGGUAAAGGCUCACCAAGCCGACGAUCUGUAGCUGGUCUGAGAGGACGACCAGCCACACUGGGACUGAGACACGGCCCAGACUCCUACGGGAGGCAGCAGUGGGGAAUUUUGGACAAUGGGGGCAACCCUGAUCCAGCCAUGCCGCGUGCGGGAAGAAGGCCUUCGGGUUGUAAACCGCUUUUGUCGGGGAAGAAAUAUCCUGGGCUAAUACCCCGGGAGGAUGACGGUACCCGAAGAAUAAGCACCGGCUAACUACGUGCCAGCCGCCGCAGUAACAC